AAAUAGAUGAGAAGACAAAACUCACCGUGGGUAAGAAUACUAAAAACAAAAAGGCAAGCCCAGCAGGAACCAUCAAAUCAAUCUCAGUUAAUUACUUGAUAGAUGUUAAAUUCUGACACGUGUUGCCUUUAUCAGAGGAUAGUUUAUAACCUCUUUAAUGCAUAAAAACAACUGCCACGGCUCACAAUUUAUCUAAAGAAGAGCGAAUGGUCACUAGGAGGUAGUAGACAUGCAUUCCCUGCUACAUUCGCUAGAGAGUAAACAGUCAAUUAGUACAAGCAUAACAUUGACAUCAUAGACUGCUGAAACUCAAUAUUUUAAUAAAGUAACAAAUGUCUUGACAGCCUAGCAGCUGCAUUCAAUGCAACUAUAGUUCAUGUGAUUAUAACAAAACCUGUUGUUAUCCAUAGGCCAUACCUUUCGCAAAAACUGACAGAUAAACUCAAUUAAAUGAUAGGAACAAACCUCAACUGUCCGAAGUUCAUUUAGAAGAGACUCUGAUGGAUUCGUGAUUGUCAGGAAUAUGUGAGACCGCUGAAGUGAAUCAAGAAGAAAGGAUACACAAUAUCAGAAAACGUCUUCUUGAAAAGAGA
rnacentral:lncRNA from 1 species